GAGCCGUUAGCUCAGUGGGGAGAGCAUCUGACUUUUAAUCAGAGGGUCGCUGGUUCGAACCCAGCACGGCUCA
rnacentral:tRNA from 1 species